rnacentral:rRNA from 1 species
CCCUUAGAUGUUCUGGGCUGCACGCGCGCUACACUGAUGCACUCAACGAGUUUACGACCUUGCCCGAUAGGGUUGGGUAAUCUUUUUAAAACGCAUCGUGAUGGGGAUAGAUUAUUGCAAUUAUUAAUCUUCAACGAGGAAUUCCUAGUAAGCGCGAGUCAUCAGCUCGUGCUGAUUACGUCCCUGCCCUUUGUACACACCGCCCGUCGCUCCUACCGAUUGAGUGCUCAGGUGAAUAAUUCGGACUGCAGCAAUGUUUGGAUCCCGAACGUUGCAGCGGAAAGUUUAGUGAACCUUAUCACUUAGAGGAAGGAGAAGUCGUAACA